rnacentral:lncRNA from 1 species
UUAAAUUUUAAAUAGAAUGCAAAGAUGCGUUAGACAAGCUGGAGAUGAAUAAAGGCCGGGGGGGGGGGAAUCACAGCUUUUGUGCCCCUAACAUUUCUUGUUUCCUUUGAGAAAAAAAGCAUUUAUUCACAUACAAGUGACCUUCAUGCAUAUUGCUUCAUUUGACCACCUGCUUCAGGUAACAGAACACAAACUUUGAGGAUGCAGAUGUAUUUAUUUUCAGUGCAGAAUACACAAGGCCCUGGGAAUAAUUAACAAGGGAUGAUGCUGACCAAAUCCCUUAAUAUACACUGUACAUAUGUUCUGUAAUUAAAUUUAAAAACCCAGUAAGGAAAAAAAAACAUUUUUAGGGCAUUUCCUUUCCCACCCCCUAGUUUUCCUGAUUGGGAUGAAAUGAAUGCCAUUUUUGAUUUGUUGGGCCCUCCCUUCCUACCCACUUUACACUCCCCCCCCCGAAACCACCCCAUAUAAAAAAUCCCUGACACAUCUGGGUAUCAUGGCUUGACUUGCAGCUUUAACUUUACACGCCCCCCCCCGAAACCACCCCAUAUAAAAAAUCCCUGACACAUCUGGGUAUCAUGGCUUGACUUGCAGCUUUAAAGCUUAAAAAUGUACAUCCAGGCAUUCAAACAUACAAAUAUUUACAAAUAUACAAAAUAAAACCCAACAUGUAAACCAAAAUGCACCAGAUUCAGAAAUGAAAACUCAGCAAUUACAGGAAAUGGUACAAACUAACUCCAGAUACACUGACGUAAAAAAGAGAAGUAAAUCUGAACAUGGAACUCCAUUUGUGAGGUGGGGUUCAGCCUGGGAAAGGACAAAUUGCUGGACCCACAAGAUAAAAGUAUUGUUUGCUUGUCCCCUGCCCACCCCAACAGAAAUGCACGCACGCACGCACGCACGCACGCACGCACACACAGAGAGAGAGAGAGAGAGAGAGAGGACAAUCCAUUUGACACAGAAACAAAAUUGUAGAAGGAACCAGGAACGCCAAGAAGAUGGGAGGAUCUCCCAAUUCCAUGCUAACAUUCCUUUGAAGAUUCUUCCAGUUCUUUGCAAUGGGGUGCUCUUGCACAGACCCACUCUCUCCACGGUGACCAUUCAGAAAACACAAAGGAAGAGGAAAAUGAAAUACUAUCAAAUGGGGGGUCAUGAUUGGCCCAAGAGAUAUUUUGGCCUGAAGAGGCCAACAGUUUGUCCAUUGGUCUGGAGUCACAUUGUACACAAUUAUAUCUAG